rnacentral:rRNA from 1 species
UAGGGAAUCUUCGGCAAUGGACGGAAGUCUGACCGAGCAACGCCGCGUGAGUGAAGAAGGUUUUCGGAUCGUAAAGCUCUGUUGUUAGAGAAGAACGUUGGUAGGAGUGGAAAAUCUACCAAGUGACGGUAACUAACCAGAAAGGGACGGCUAACUACGUGCCAGCAGCCGCGGUAAUACGUAGGUCCCGAGCGUUGUCCGGAUUUAUUGGGCGUAAAGCGAGCGCAGGCGGUUCUUUAAGUCUGAAGUUAAAGGCAGUGGCUUAACCAUUGUACGAUUUGGAAACGGGAGGACUUGAGUGCUGAAGGGGAAAGUGGAAUUCCAUGUGUAGCGGUGAAAUGCCUAGAUAUAUGGAGGAACACCGGUGGCAGAAGCGGCUCGCUGGUCUGUAUCUGACGCUGAGGCUCGAAAGCGUAGGGAGCAAACAGG